rnacentral:lncRNA from 1 species
CUGGCUGGAAACCGGUGAUCCGCUACAAUAUAUGAAGGUAAUCCACUCCCGUAUAGUCUCACAUAGCAUGCGGGUAAGCUACACGUAUACCAUCAACAUGCAGCCUAAAAAGAACCUUCACGUCCUCAAGCGUGGUGGUAGCCCGCUGAUGGGUAGAUGAACGUGUGCGUCUCUGGUCGCUAUCACUCUGUCAUAGCCGUGAUCAACGCCCAGUCAAACUUCAUCCGACCGAUCUUAUUGAUCCUGUAGAAACCUGUAUCAUGAAGGCAUCUAACUAUACAGGGAUGUAGUAGGUGGUCCCUAAUAAAAUCCCACAUAUCGUCUAUACGUCUGGGCGGAAUGUCUGGGGCAGACACGACCCAUCCCAGAUGUGUGAAGACCUAUGGUUUCCCUGUAGCAACAGUAGCUCUCGAGAUGCAGGCCCGAGAUGCACAAGGGAAACCUUCAUGACGAUGUCUAUAAAUUGAACAAUAUUAGUUAAAUUUUUUUAAUUGUUUAACAUCUUUAAAUAUAUUACAAUAUAUUUUAUAUUAAUAUUUAAUUUAUAUUUUUUCUAUAUUAUUACUUAGGUUGAUGCAUUUUCUAUAUUUAGUUUAUUAUAUUAUUUUAUAUGUUUGCUUCUUACUCAGCUAUUUUUGGGUAUACUCAGUUUGACAAAUUUUCUAUAUUGUUAUUUUUUAUGUUAUAUUCUUAAAAUUAUUGACUAAAUUUAAGAGGUUUUGUGUUUGAACUAUCAUUAUUUUUUUCAGAUAUUUUUGGGGUUAACAGAUAAUUAAAUAUUUAAUUUCAAUAACUACAAAGGUUAAUUAGCAAUUAUUCAAUAAUUAAUCAUAUAUAAAAUACAACAAACUUAAUAGUACAUAUUAUUGAAUUUAUUUCAUUCGUAACGAUAUGUUUGUUAACUUUCAUAUUUUGCCCAAAUUUUCCGGCAAAUGAUUUAUUUUAUGAUUCAUAUCUAAUAUUUGAUAAUUAUCUAUUGAUACAUUAAAUUCAUAAUUGAGCACUCUAUCCGGAUAUGUUAAGGAGAGCACCUAGUUUUUAUUCUACACAAUGAAUCUUAAAAAACACUAAAAUAAUACUACUCUAAACGGACGUGAACAAAGUCAAUUACCAUAAGCUAAAAUUUAUUAUCAGUUUUACUACGCAAAAGGGUACUACAUAACAAUUAAGGGCACAAUAUAACAUUAAAAGACACUAACAACAAUAUUCACAUAUUAAUAUAUGUACAACAAUAAAAUCACAUAUAACAAUAAUAAUUCAUAAAAUAACAAUAUAUCUUUUUUAUUAAUUUUUUAGCACAUAAAUAAUCUAAUUCGAAUAAAAAUAAUAAACUAAUUAAAUCACAAAACGAUAACAAAAAACAUAGCCCACAGUAAAUAACAACUAAUAAGCAUUUUAUAUACAUGAGUUUUACCAAAAAAAAAGUUGGAAUACCUCGAUUUAAAAUUUUUUGAAAUCUGAAAAUUUGAUGAUUUGGGGGACGAAACGAGUAAUAGACGGGAUCCACUACACGACAACGCCUUAGAUCCGGUGUUAGCUUGCUACAAUAUGGAGUUUUUUGCUUUAAAAUUGGGGGGGGGGGAACCGAUUUUGGUCUGCUGAUUCGCGUUCUGGCCGGGGAAGGAAGCAUCACGUUUUUUUAUAUAGGUAUAACACAUAUAUAGGAGGCGCUAUAUUAUAGCGCCCCUGCAUAUGCGCUUUACCUCCCGCCAAUUUUGAGUUUAAAUAUAGCGCGGUUAUUCACCGCGCUAUACCUUAAUAGACAAACGCGCCAUUAAGGUAUAACACGGUGAAUAACUGCGCUAUAUAUAAAAUGGUAGUCAGUUUAUUUUCCACCUAUUUAUGCCGUUUGAGUCCAAGAAGACCACAAUUAGGUUUCGUUCUCCAAUCUUUUAUCACUCUCGUAAUAUGUUUUUAGUUUUUACCAGUCGACUUAUAUACAAUUUUUUCAGGUAGCAAGCAAAAAAGUCUAAUAGUCUAUUUGGCCAAGCUUCUUUUUGGCGAAAAGUGAUUUUUUGGCCAAGCUUUUGGAAGGAAAAAAAAUGCUUUUGAGGAGAAGCAGAAGCAAAAAAAAGUAGUUUCUCUCCAAAAACACUUUUCUGAUAAGCACUUUUGAGAAAAAUACAUUUAGAAGCAGUUUUUUAAAGCUUGGUCAAACACUAAUUGCUGCUCAAAAGUGCUUUUCAAACUAAUUAGCCAAACACAAACUGCUUAUCACCAAAAGUACUUUUGAGAAAAAUACUUUUAAAAAAAAGUAUUUCUCAAAAUAAGCUAAUUUUUGAGGCUUGGCCAAACGGGCUAUAAAUAUUGUUACCAUUCUUUUCCUUUACAUAGUUAAACAGGAAACAUGAAAUCCAAUAGGUCUUACAGUUGUUCAAACUGUGACUUGCUGAUCACCAAUUUGUCUGUUGUGACAAUCGUAGCUCCUACCUUGAUUUCCGAGCCUCAAUCAUAU